GCUUUCGUGGUGUAGUGGUCAGCACGCUGGGCGCGUAUUCCAGAGGUCCGUGGUUCAAGUCCCGGCGAAGGCG
rnacentral:tRNA from 1 species